rnacentral:rRNA from 1 species
UACGAGGGUUGCGAGCGUUAUUCGGAUUUAUUGGGCGUAAAGGGUGCGUAGGCGGCCUGUCGCGUCCGCUGUGAAAUCCCGGGGCUUAACCCCGGGCGUGCAGUGGAUACGGGCUGGCUGGAGGCAGGCAGGGGAGAACGGAAUUCACGGUGUAGCGGUGAAAUGCGCAGAUAUCGGGAGGAACACCGGUGGCGAAGGCGGUUCUCUGGGCCUGUACUGACGCUGAGGAGCGAAAGCGUGGGGAGCGAACAGG